GCAGAGGUGGUUUAGUGGUAGAAUUCUCGCCUUCCAUGUGGGAGACCUGGGUUCGACUCCCAGCCAGUGCA
rnacentral:tRNA from 1 species